AUUAUUUUUUCGUUUGAAUCACUCGCGAUUUGCAAUUAUUUGAAAUUUGAACAAAAAUACAGACUACAGUCGUACAGAGUUCUGAUAGUUGUAUUCAUACAUUUUAUUACAAAAUCACCAUGCAUAAGUGUAUUCUUUUUAGUAAAACAUCUAAAGUAUCGCCUAGCCACAUUAUGUUAAUUUUAAUUUAUCUCCAAAAAAUGAAAAUAGAAGGAAAUAAUAAUGGCUAAACAUCUCCGAAUUAAAUGAUUUUCCCAAUUUCUAUCUGGCAUAGUAUCCGCGGUAAUCAUUUCACAAUAUUAGUGAAUGUAAACAAUGCUCUAAAAACACAAUCCAAAACCGUUUGCCUGGGAUAGAGAAGUAAAAUAAAUUUUAGUAAUUUACAGCGAAAUUGGUACUACUCUGAGCACGACUAGUAUAUCGAAUCUAAUUGAGUAAAAUCAUUUAACAUAAUUCAUGAAUUAGGUAUUUAUAUAUUUUUUACAACUUGACAUUUUCAGAAAAUUGUGUUUGUCCAACGAUGAGUUAGAAGAAAAUGAUCAGGCGCAUAAAGGAUUUCGAGGCUUUACAUGCUACUGAUUUUAAUUCACCCAGAAAAGUCUUAGAAACUAAAUAAUGUCCACACACACUUAUUUCAUACAGUGGAUUAUACUUAUUAUGGUUUUCAAAACUGAAAUAAUGAUGUACCACAUUCAAGGAACCAGGAAGUCGAGCCAAUGUAUUGGCAAUAUUUUUCAGACGUUGAAUUUCUCGAAGAUAAUUCUACAGACUCUGAUGAGGCCAUACAAUAUUGGACCGAAUUAUGAAACUUAAAGGUAAUACAAUUUUGCUGAGCAAGAAUCCAAUUUUAAUAACACAGACGGCCUCGACAUUAUAAAUAAUUAAAUUGCAAAGAAGCACAUAACUAGUUUGGACUUUGGUAUCUUUUCUGAAGAGGAAUUGA